rnacentral:rRNA from 1 species
GACGAACGCUGGCGGCGUGCUUAACACAUGCAAGUCGAACGGAAAGGCCCUGCUUUUGUGGGGUGCUCGAGUGGCGAACGGGUGAGUAACACGUGAGUAACCUGCCCUUGACUUUGGGAUAACUUCAGGAAACUGGGGCUACUACCGGAUAGGAGCUCCUGCUGCAUGGUGGGGGUUGGAAAGUUUCGGCGGUUGGGGAUGGACUCGCGGCUUAUCAGCUUGUUGGUUGGGGAGUGGCUUACCAAGGCUUUGACGGGUAGCCGGCCUGAGAGGGUGACCGGCCACAUUGGGACUGCGGUACGGCCCAGACUCCUACGGGAGGCAGCAGUGGGGAAUAUUGCACAAUGGGCCGAAGCCUGAUACAGCAACGCCGCGUGCGGGAUGACGGCCUUCGGGUUGUAAACCGCUUUCGCCUGUGACGAAGCGUGAGUGACGGUAAUGGGUAAAGAAGCACCGGCUAACUACGUG